rnacentral:rRNA from 1 species
CUGGCUCAGGAUGAACGCUGGCGGCGUGCCUAACACAUGCAAGUCGAACGGAGUUUAGCGCUGAUGAAGCUUCGGCAGAUUCUUGUUAAACUUAGUGGCGGACGGGUGAGUAACGCGUGGGUAACCUGCCUCAUACAGGGGGAUAGCAGUU